rnacentral:rRNA from 1 species
GACGAACGCUGGCGGCGUGCCUAACACAUGCAAGUCGAACGGGGUUGAGUGCUUCGGUAUUCAACCUAGUGGCGAACGGGUGAGUAACGCGUGAAGAACCUGCCUUUCAGUGGGGGACAACAGCUGGAAACGGCUGCUAAUACCGCAUGACAUAUAUUAAGGGCAUCCUUGAUAUAUCAAAGAUUUUAUCGCUGAAAGAUGGCCUCGCGUCCGAUUAGAUAGUUGGCGGGUAACGGCCCACCAAGUCGACGAUCGGUAGCCGGACUGAGAGGUUGACCGGCCACAUUGGGACUGAGAUACGGCCCAGACUCCUACGGGAGGCAGCAGUGGGGGAAUAUUGGGCAAUGGACGCAAGUCUGACCCAGCAACGCCGCGUGAAGGAAGAAGGCUUUCGGGUUGUAAACUUCUUUUAAGGGGGAACAGUAGAAGAGGGUACCCCUUGAAUAAGCCACGGCUAACUACGUG